AUUAAUCGUUUCUUGAACACUUAUUAUGUAGCAGGUGGUGUGCUUGACAGGCUGACCACAAUAACAGAAGAAAAGUUAACUGUCCAGGAAGGCAUACAUCUUUCAAGGUACUACAACUCCUACUAAAAGAAGACCUUUUCAGAAGAAACACAUGGAAAUUUAAAAAGUAAUGUUCAGCAACUUCAAAUAAAUUGGAACACCACAUUGAUCUGUUUUAAAACUACUCCAUUCCAGCUGGUGUGGCUCAGUGGUUGAGCAUCGACCCAUGCACCAAGAGGUCACCAGUUCGAUUCCUGGUCAGGGCACAUGCCCAGG